rnacentral:rRNA from 1 species
UACAGAGGGUGCGAGCGUUGUCCGGAAUCACUGGGCGUAAAGGGUGCGUAGGUGGCUUGGUAAGCGUGUGGUGGAAGUCCGGGGCUCAACCCCGGAUCUGCCGUGCGAACUGCCGAGCUCGAGCAAUGUAGAGGCAGGUGGAAUUUCGGGUGUAGCGGUGGAAUGCGUAGAGAUCCGAAAGAACACCAGUGGCGAAGGCGGCCUGCUGGGCAUUAGCUGACACUGAGGCACGACAGCGUGGGGAGCAAAC